UAUUGUUUACUGAGAAAUACUGAGUUAUCCUUUCUAUAGUGGGAAAGUAGAGAAGUGGACUUGAAAGUGAUUGGUUGAACGAAUCACGAGAUGAGGCAUAGUGUUGUCUUCUGAGCAUGAAGUGAGUCAUGGGUUUUGUAUUUUUUGCAAUAGCCAGCAGCUAUUGAUGACUGUGCUGGCUCCCUCUUUGUGGGGAGGCCAGAGGGUGAGAACACAGGCUGAGUGAU
rnacentral:snoRNA from 1 species